rnacentral:tRNA from 1 species
GCCCGGGUGGUGGAAUGGCAUACACGGCAGGCUUAAGAUCUGCUGCCAGCAAUGGCUUGCGAGUUCGAGUCUCGCCCCGGGCA